rnacentral:sRNA from 1 species
UCCGUAGGUGAACCUGCGGAAGGAUCAUUACCGAGUGCGGGCUGCCUCCGGGCGCCCAACCUCCCACCCGUGACUACCUAACACUGUUGCUUCGGCGGGGAGCCCCCUAGGGGCGAGCCGCCGGGGACCACUGAACUUCAUGCCUGAGAGUGAUGCAGUCUGAGCCUGAAUACAAAUCAGUCAAAACUUUCAACAAUGGAUCUCUUGGUUCCGGCAUCGAUGAAGAACGCAGCGAACUGCGAUAAGUAAUGUGAAUUGCAGAAUUCAGUGAAUCAUCGAGUCUUUGAACGCACAUUGCGCCCCCUGGCAUUCCGGGGGGCAUGCCUGUCCGAGCGUCAUUGCUGCCCUCAAGCCCGGCUUGUGUGUUGGGUCGUCGUCCCCCCCGGGGGACGGGCCCGAAAGGCAGCGGCGGCACCGUGUCCGGUCCUCGAGCGUAUGGGGCUUUGUCACCCGCUCGAUUAGGGCCGGCCGGGCGCCAGCCGGCGUCUCCAACCUUAUUUUUCUCAGGUUGACCUCGGAUCAGGUAGGGAUACCCGCUGAACUUAAGCAUAUCAAUAAGCGGAGGAAAAGAAACCAACCGGGAUUGCCUC